rnacentral:rRNA from 1 species
GACGAACGCUGGCGGCGUGCUUAACACAUGCAAGUCGAACGGAAAGGCCCUGCUUUUGUGGGGUGCUCGAGUGGCGAACGGGUGAGUAACACGUGAGUAACCUGCCCUUGACUUUGGGAUAACUUCAGGAAACUGGGGCUAAUACCGGAUAGGAGCUCCUGCUGCAUGGUGGGGGUUGGAAAGUUUCGGCGGUUGGGGAUGGACUCGCGGCUUAUCAGCUUGUUGGUGGGGUAGUGGCUUACCAAGGCUUUGACGGGUAGCCGGCCUGAGAGGGUGACCGGCCACAUUGGGACUGAGAUACGGCCCAGACUCCUACGGGAGGCAGCAGUGGGGAAUAUUGCACAAUGGGCGGAAGCCUGAUGCAGCAACGCCGCGUGCGGGAUGACGGCCUUCGGGUUGUAAACCGCUUUCGCCUGUGACGAAGCGUGAGUGACGGUAAUGGGUAAAGAAGCACCGGCUAACUACGUGCCAGCAGCCGCGGUGAUACGUAGGGUGCGAGCGUUGUCCGGAUUUAUUGGGCGUAAAGGGCUCGUAGGUGGUUGAUCGCGUCGGAAGUGUAAUCUUGGGGCUUAACCCUGAGCGUGCUUUCGAUACGGGUUGACUUGAGGAAGGUAGGGGAGAAUGGAAUUCCUGGUGGAGCGGUGGAAUGCGCAGAUAUCAGGAGGAACACCAGUGGCGAAGGCGGUUCUCUGGGCCUUUCCUGACGCUGAGGAGCGAAAGCGUGGGGAGCGAACAGGCUUAGAUACCCUGGUAGUCCACGCUGUAAACGGUGGGUACUAGGUGUGGGGUCCAUUCCACGGGUUCCGUGCCGUAGCUAACGCUUUAAGUACCCCGCCUGGGGAGUACGGCCGCAAGGCUAAAACUCAAAGGAAUUGACGGGGCCCCGCACAAGCGGCGGAGCAUGCGGAUUAAUUCGAUGCAACGCGUAGAACCUUACCUGGGUUUGACAUGGAUCGGGAGCGCUCAGAGAUGGGUGUGCCUCUUUUGGGGUCGGUUCACAGGUGGUGCAUGGCUGUCGUCAGCUCGUGUCGUGAGAUGUUGGGUUAAGUCCCGCAACGAGCGCAACCCUUGUUCACUGUUGCCAGCACGUUAUGGUGGGGACUCAGUGGAGACCGCCGGGGUCAACUCGGAGGAAGGUGGGGAUGACGUCAAGUCAUCAUGCCCCUUAUGUCCAGGGCUUCACGCAUGCUACAAUGGCUGGUACAGAGAGUGGCGAGCCUGUGAGGGUGAGCGAAUCUCGGAAAGCCGGUCUCAGUUCGGAUUGGGGUCUGCAACUCGACCUCAUGAAGUCGGAGUCGCUAGUAAUCGCAGAUCAGCAACGCUGCGGUGAAUACGUUCUCGGGGCU